GAUGAACGCUAGCUACAGGCUUAACACAUGCAAGUCGCGGGGCAGCAUGGGGGUUGCUUGCAACCCCUGAUGGCGACCGGCGCACGGGUGAGUAACGCGUAUCCAACCUGCCCUUCACCACGGGAUAACCCGGCGAAAGUCGGACUAAUACCGAAUGUUGUCCAUUGACGGCAUCCGAUUUGGACGCAGGGCUUGGCGGUGAAAGCGUGGGGUUGCGUGCGAUUAGCUUGAUGGCGGGGUAACGGCCCACCGUGGCGACGAUCGGUAGGGGUUCUGAGAGGAGGGUCCCCCAGAGUGGAACCGGGACCCGGGCCACAGUGCUACGGGAGGGAGCAGUGAGGAAUGUAGGUGAAGGGGCGUUAGCCUGAACCAGCCAAGUAGCGUGCAGGAUGACGGCCUUAUGGGUUGUAGCCUGCUUUUAUGCGGGGAUUAAGUGGCCCACGGGUGGGCUUUUGAAGGUACCGCAUAAAUAAGGACCGGCUAAUUCCGUG
rnacentral:rRNA from 1 species